rnacentral:pre_miRNA from 1 species
AGUGCAAUUGCUGGGUUGUGUGGUAAGACUAUGUUUAGCUUUGUAAGAAACCGCCAAACUCUUUUCCAGAGUAGCUGUACCAUUUUGCAUUCCCACCAGCAGU